CACAUCUCCGCGCCGGCUGCCCUAGCGCUUCGGAGGCCCACUGCACUGGCCGGUUUCUACGCAGCGUCCCCCUGCUGCCCGUGGAGGGCAGGGGCUGGCUCUUCCAGGACGCAGCGUGGGCUCCGAACGGUUAGGGGUCGCGGGCGGAAGAGAGCAUCCCGCUGUCGAGGGAGGACCGCGUGGCAGCACGGUCUCGGGUGGGACUGGCCCGUGCUUGCGGCGUGUAAGCCGGGCAGCCUCCGUUAUUACAGGGAAACUAGGUCCUUGUCACCGUUUCCGAACUGACAACGGGGACGAGGGAUUGCGAAAUAGGAAAGUUUUAUUGCAAAGGAGAAACAGAGGACUUUUGUCUCCAGGCUGUGAUUCUCCCAGCGAGGGAGGACGGAGGAUAGAAUAAUAAUAGUACAAGGGCUUGGCCCCAGAUAUUAUCAGUAGCUAUGAUUAGUGUCCCUUGGUGUCCUUGAGAGAGCUGUUGCUCCAGUUCCCAGGCUUAAGUUCUUUUACUCUUGUGGGCAGUGACACUUCUGGGCUAUGAAGGAUACAAAUAGAUUAUCCUGGGACAGAAAAAAUGUUAGUCAGUUUUAUAAAAUAAGACACUUGGCGGUGGAGGGGCAAGGUUUACCCUCAGCAUGAAGUUGACCCUGGUUACAGUUCUACAGGAUGUAAGGAAAGCUCCUCUGCUAUUAGCAGGAUAGUGGGUUCUGUAAAGUGGGGGCAAGGAGAAAGAAAAUAACGGAUAGAUUAAAUUAGGUUGCUUUUUGUAAGGAUUAUUAAAAGACAAGAGUCUGGCAUGACAUGUUGAAGUGUGAGUAUUAGAGAAGCACACCCAGGCAAGCAUAUAAAGCAGGGUUUAUUUAAAAGGGGUACAAUAGACUUAUCCCAGGAAGGAGAAGGGGGCUAUAGCUGGAAGAACCCAGGCGUUUGGCCCUUUUUAUAUGUCCUAGGCUUCCUUUGUUCUCCUGCCCUCUUCCCCAUACCUUUCUCCUUCCUGCCAAGGUGACUAGGCCCAGGAUGACCAAAAGGUGGGAAACAGGUUGGCUGAAGGGGGAAGGGCAGGAUAAUGCAGCUCUAGACACAUUAAUUAACAACCUUAUAGCUCCCUGUAGGGAGGGGUAUUUCCUGGGACAGGUUACCUUAGAACCGGUUGGAGCAGGGACAGGUUCUUGAUAAGGGUGGAGGAAGGGCUCUGAAGGAAUUAAUAUUUCAAUCUCUCUGGGCAGCCUUCAACUUCCCAGGACUCACUCAAAAUUGGCCUGACUCUAUCUGACCUGACUUUAUUUAUCUCUCUAUACUGACCUGCCUGUCUAAUUCUGGCUUCAAUAUGAUUCUUGAAAUUCUAAGUACAGCCUUAUCCUGCCAAAUAAGAAAGGCAGGUGGGAUCAAGGAAAAAUUAAGCUGUAAGUGAAAAAUCAGCCUCUACCUCAGAGCAAAGCCUGUCCAAGGAAAGGGACAUGACCUUUGUCCUUGGAAAGACCCACAGAGCACUCCUAGGCACAUUCCCACCCUGCUAAGUUGUUUAUCUACAAAUGAGAUCUGCUGCACCAGGUGUCCCUGACUCAGUCAGGCUAGGUGGGGGCCCAUAGCAACCCCCUAGCAGCCACCAAUCAGCAUGAGACAGGGAAAUACCUGGGAUGCCAGGUGACCCUCCCAGUAGUUUAUGGUGUUGGGAAACCAUGUAAUUCAGCAUGAACACCCCUCUUGGCUUAAACCAAUCAGUUCAAAUGAAUACCCCUUCUGUAGUAACCAAUCACCCCUACCCAACCUGUUCCCGCCAGUGAAUGUGCUAAUCAUGUUUUAGAGUUGUUAUUUGAUUUUCCCGUGGUGUGUGAUGAUUUGCUAAGAGAUGCUAUGACGUAUGUGGGGGUAGGGACCCCUUCUCCAAAGAAUGUAUAAAACUGCUGCAAACCCUGGGCUCGGGGCCUCUCAGCGUCACCAGUUGCUGUGUGUGUGUGCGGAAGACCGAGCUAGCGCGCAAUAAACACCUCUUUGCUGUUUACAUGGAUCUUGGU
rnacentral:lncRNA from 1 species